CUACGGGAGAAAGCAGGGACCCUUCGGGCCCUUGCGCUAUCAGAUGAGCCUAGGUCGGAUUAGCUAGUUGGUGAGGUAAUGGCUCACCAAGGCGGACGAUCCGUAACUGGUCUGAGAGGAUGAUCAGUCACACUGGAACUGAGACACGGUCCAGACUCCUACGGGAGGCAGCAGUGGGGAAUAUUGGACAAUGGGCGAAAGCCUGAUCCAGCCAUGCCGCGUGUGUGAAGAAGGUCUUCGGAUUGUAAAGCACUUUAAGUUGGGAGGAAGGGCAGUUACCUAAUACGUAUCUGUUUUGACGUUACCGACAGAAUAAGCACCGGCUAACUCUGUGCCAGCAGCCGCGGUAAUACAGAGGGUGCAAGCGUUAAUCGGAAUUACUGGGCGUAAAGCGCGCGUAGGUGGUUUGUUAAGUUGGAUGUGAAAUCCCCGGGCUCAACCUGGGAACUGCAUUCAAAACUGACAAGCUAGAGUAUGGUAGAGGGUGGUGGAAUUUCCUGUGUAGCGGUGAAAUGCGUAGAUAUAGGAAGGAACACCAGUGGCGAAGGCGACCACCUGGACUGAUACUGACACUGAGGUGCGAAAGCGUGGGGAGCAAAC
rnacentral:rRNA from 1 species